rnacentral:lncRNA from 1 species
GAAAAUGCCCGUCAUAGGUCAUAGUAUAUACUCUUAUUUUUUAAUUUCGUGAUUUUGUCCGAAGGGGCUUUUUAGUUCCACGGCCCGGCCUGGUCAGUACUUAGCCGGGACCCGCCCUUUUUGUUACCAACAAAUCAUAAAUAAAAAGAUUUAUUAAAUUGGAAAAAAAAAAAGAAUAAAAAAAAAAUUGCUUGUUAUUGCGAUAAAAAAGAACUUUUUCAAUUUCUAUGAUUAUGAUAUAGAAUCAAAUGGUAUAGAAUCAAAGUGCCGUUUCUUUCUUAUCUUAGUUAGUCCUUUUAUUCCGGUUUAAAUAAGAAAAAGGGCACUCUCGUUUCUUGCCAGAAUCUACUUUUGUGUUAUGGCUUAAGUUCAAGACAAAAACCUCGGGCAAAAAAGCACUUGGUAUUUAGUUAUUAAAAUUAAAUAAAUCCCCCUUUCCGAAUCUCAUUAGGUCCUCUGAUACAAAAGGGUAAACGCUCUAGUUUUCCUGAUUCUUUUCUGAUCUUUUGUUUUUUGAUUAGGGUCGACAAAAGGCGCAUUUAUAUACAAUAAUCUUAUUGUAGCGGGUAUAGUUUAGUGGUAAAAGUGUGAUUCGUUCUAUAACCCUUUAUAUAGUUAAAGGGUCUUUCGGUUUGAUUAAUAUUCAUUCCGAACAAAAACUUUAGUUCUUAAA